rnacentral:lncRNA from 1 species
UGGCUGAUAAAUUCAAAAAGAACAAUGGUCAUGCAGCAAUAACCAUAACCAUACAAACAAAAGCUUUAAUGAGCAUUACAAACAUACAAACAAAACCAUAUUUAUUUGGGAAACAACAGAACCUGCUACAUCAAUACAAACAUGGAAUCAGGGAAAACAUACAAACAAAACCAUGAAUACCAAUGGAAAACUAACCUGUAAUGCUCAAAUCUGGGACGACUGCG